rnacentral:rRNA from 1 species
UGGGGAAUAUUGGACAAUGGGCGGAAGCCUGAUCCAGCAACGCCGCGUGAGGGAUGACGGCCUUCGGGUUGUAAACCUCUUUCAGUACCGACGAAGCGGAAGUGACGGUAGGUACAGAAGAAGCACCGGCCAACUACGUGCCAGCAGCCGCGGUAAUACGUAGGGUGCGAGCGUUGUCCGGAAUUAUUGGGCGUAAAGGGCUCGUAGGCGGUUUGUCGCGCCGGGAGUGAAAACACUGGGCUUAACUCAGUGCUUGCUUCCGAUACGGGCAGACUAGAGGCAUGCAGGGGAGAACGGAAUUCCUGGUGUAGCGGUGAAAUGCGCAGAUAUCAGGAGGAACACCGGUGGCGAAGGCGGUUCUCUGGGCAUGUCCUGACGCUGAGGAGCGAAAGUGUGGGGAGCGAACAGGAUUAGAUACCCUGGUAGUCCACACCGUAAACGUUGGGCGCUAGGUGUGGGGCCUAUUCCAUGGGUUCCGUGCCGCAGCUAACGCAUUAAGCGCCCCGCCUGGGGAGUACGGCCGCAAGGCU